GCAUAUCAAUAAGCGGAGGAAAAGAAACCAACAGGGAUUGCCCUAGUAACGGCGAAGUGAAGCGGCAACAGCUCAAAUUUGAAAUCUGGCGUCUUUGGCGUUCCGAGUUGUAAUUUGCAGAGGGCGCUUUGGCAUUGGCAGCGGUCCAAGUUCCUUGGAACAGGACGUCACAGAGGGUGAGAAUCCCGUACGUGGUCGCUAGCCUUUACCGUGUAAAGCCCCUUCGACGAGUCGAGUUGUUUGGGAAUGCAGCUCUAAAUGGGAGGUAAAUUUCUUCUAAAGCUAAAUACUGGCCAGAGACCGAUAGCGCACAAGUAGAGUGAUCGAAAGAUGAAAAGCACUUUGGAAAGAGAGUUAAAAAGCACGUGAAAUUGUUGAAAGGGAAGCGCUUGCAGCCAGACUUGCCUGUAGUUGCUCAUCCGGGUUUCUACCCGGUGCACUCUUCUAUAGGCAGGCCAGCAUCAGUUUGGGCGGUUGGAUAAAGGUCUCUGUCAUGUACCUCCUUUCGGGGAGAACUUAUAGGGGAGACGACAUGCAACCAGCCUGGACUGAGGUCCGCGCAUCUGCUAGGAUGCUGGCGUAAUGGCUGUAAGCGGCCCGUCUUGAAACACGGACCAAGGAGUCUAACAUCUAUGCGAGUGUUUGGGUGUCAAGCCCGAGCGCGUAAUGAAAGUGAACGGAGGUGGGAACCUUUCGGGGUGCACCAUCGACCGAUCCUGAUGUCUUCGGAUGGAUUUGAGUAAGAGCAUAGCUGUUGGGACCCGAAAGAUGGUGAACUAUGCUUGAAUAGGGUGAAGCCAGAGGAAGACUCUGGUGGAGGCUCGCAGCGGUUUCUGACGUGCAAAUCGAUCGUCAAAUUUGGGGCAUAGGGGCGAAAGACUAAUCGAACUAUCUAGUAGCUGGUUCCUGCCGA
rnacentral:rRNA from 1 species